rnacentral:rRNA from 1 species
GUGGGGAAUAUUGGACAAUGGGCGAAAGCCUGAUCCAGCCAUGCCGCGUGUGUGAAGAAGGUCUUCGGAUUGUAAAGCACUUUAAGUUGGGAGGAAGGGCAGUAAGUUAAUACCUUGCUGUUUUGACGUUACCAACAGAAUAAGCACCGGCUAACUUCGUGCCAGCAGCCGCGGUAAUACGAAGGGUGCAAGCGUUAAUCGGAAUUACUGGGCGUAAAGCGCGCGUAGGUGGUUCAGCAAGUUGGAGGUGAAAUCCCCGGGCUCAACCUGGGAACUGCCGCCAAAACUACUGAGCUAGAGUACGGUAGAGGGUAGUGGAAUUUCCUGUGUAGCGGUGAAAUGCGUAGAUAUAGGAAGGAACACCAGUGGCGAAGGCGACUACCUGGACUGAUACUGACACUGAGGUGCGAAAGCGUGGGGAGCAAACAGGAUUAGAAACCCGAGUAGUCC